rnacentral:lncRNA from 1 species
UAGCUAGAUACUGUCGCAGAUCAUCCUUGAGAGAUUAUAUACAUGAUCUGGGAUCCAUUUCACGGAAACCUUGAGCACCACCCUGAUAGGAGGGACCUUCCCCCGCUGUCGCUGCUGCAUCCUGCAUGGCAAGGCAGGACAUGAGGUCUGAAGAAUUCAACAAGUUCUGAAGCUGUGUAAAUUGCAAUUUGUAGAUAUAGCAUCAUCAUAUAUAUGGGCCUCAUUGGAGGAAUGUAAAUAGUAAAUAUGUAUACAUAGAAGUGUAAGACUUGCAACAUGUGCAAUAUUGCAAGGGGUGAUUCAUUUAAGUGUACGGGAGUUUAUAAAACUUCAGAGAUCAUCUUGGGGUGACAUUGCAGCAGGAAGCCAUCCUGAAUCAUCGUCAGUUCUUCAUUUUGCCGUGCAAGAUCUGAUAUUGUGAUUCAGCACCUCCUUUGCAACUGCACAGAUAGAUAGGACACAAUUUGUCAUCAUACACUUUCCACUUUAUUUCAGUUAAAGAAGACUUAUGCAGCUCCAUGUUUGAGUAUACAGCAACCAUCAAACCCAAGCUCACCAGAUCAACUACAUUACAACCGAAUAUCCAGAACCAUCAAACCCAAGCUCUUCACCAGAUUAAACCAAGCUAUUCUACAAACAAUAGUGCAAUCAAAUCCAAGCCAAUGCCUUAGGAGAGAACAAGUUGUGCACCAGACUAACUACUGUACAUCACAACGCAUUACAGUAUGGUAGCAGUAUCAGUAUAUCCCCUUCUGUUUCCCCAGGUUCUCUGAAAAAAUCAUCUAGGAGUCGUUCUUGCGUAGGUUGUAGAAGAUUGAGCCAUCAAUCGUCUCCAUAGCCAGUUGAUUCAGCCGCAGAAGGAUCAACAAGUAGGAUCUUCCUUUGCGCCCUACAAGACAAGGGCAUGAAAGGAAACGUCAAUGGGAUUUGUCUAGUGUAAAAGCAUUUCACAUUUCUGCGGGCAGGGAUUGUAACGUACCCAAGCCGAUUGAUGCAACAUCAUCCUGAUUCAAACGUCCCUGAGCCUUAUCACCACCAAAGUAUGCAUUUAGUUUUGAAACGGCGUCAUGCAAUUCCUGAUAAAAAGAGAAGCCGCGAAAAAGGUAAGCAUUGCAGUAGAUUGCUUUGAGGUGGCAUAACUAAGAUAACACUUACUAUCGUCAUGAAACCACUACAAUGCAGAGACCAAAACAGAAAAGACUUUAAAGAGUUUAUGGCAAGAGGCAAGAAAAGAUAUUGCAUGAUUUCUCCCUUCUAGUAAUUAACUCCAGUAACAUGUCUGAAUUACACGGACUGUGCUGUAACUUGUUGCCACUACAAAAUAGACAACGUGCAUAGAGUCCUAUGAGAAGCAUUCCCGAUUAGUUUUUUAAGAAAGAAGUCAGACCUCCCAUGAUGCAAGAGUCUUCAUGUAAGGAGGAAGUUUAUCGUACUCCUCCUUCGACGCCCUUAUCAUUCCUUGGAAAGCAUUGUCUUCACAGAUUCAACAGAGAUGUCAGUCAUAGAAAGCAAGCAUUUAAUAUAUCUUCUAAACAUAAAAGAUACACUCUGCUGACCAUCUUGCUCAUAUGUUUCAAUUUGGGGAGGUGUGGGUUCUUCAGCUUCCUCCAAGAUCUUUUGGUCAUCAUCAACACUGAACGGUAUAAACACAAGGUGAUUUUCAAUGAAGAUAAAACAAGUAAAGAACUGUGGAGAACAAAAAAAAACAGCCUGAAAAGGACGUUGCAAUAGAUAUCUCAUACAGUAUAUGUCUGUAUUCCAUUGAGUUACCUUCCAGGUUUUCUGUGAGGCAUCUUUGGGCUUGCAGAAAAAUCAAUAUCUGCGAAAUCCGAAAGAAAUUAUUAUCUCUAUUCGAUUUAGGACUUGCAGUAAAAAAUACUAAUAUGUAUAAUGCAUCUAAACAGUUGAUUUAGGAAGAUGCAUUGCAAGUGUUCCGUACCUUGAGAGGACAGAGUAGCUAGACAAGCAUCAGAAAUCCCAAAAUUCUUUAGUGACAUGGAAUCCUCAAAUCUUACAUGCAGUCAAGAAAGAACUCAAUACUCUGUAUCUCAAUCGCACAGAAACACAAAAGAAUGAUUUGAUGCUGAAUAGUGCAAUGAAGUACAACGGAUCUCCUGGUAUCAGAGUAAUCUGUACCCGACCUACACCAAGCUAACACCCUCUAAAUAAAGAAGGAGUGCCUACUAUGUUUCCAAAAAACAGAAGCCCAUUGUUAAUUAAAGAUCAAGGUUCAGACUUGGUGCAUGCAAAUUGUUAAGCUUAUCCAGUAUAACGAAUCCCCAACAACCCAACCAAUCAUAAUCUCCAAUGUUUGCUUGUCCCAAAUGAUUGUAUGAUAGCAUGAUAUUAGGGAGAUUUACACAUUUAGCAGGAAAAAUUAGUAGUAAAGGUUAACAGCUAAUAACAGGGGCAGAAUAAGUAUGGUUCAACUCCUAAUGCUUAUAAAUCUUCAAAUUCUGACUUCACUGACGAUGCUGCAAUUGUAAACCCUUACAGCUAGCCAACUAGGUGCAAGAUGAUACUCCCUCCGUUCCAAAAUAGAUGACCCAACUUUGUACUAACUUUGUAUUAAAGAUAGUACAAAGUUGAGUCAUCUAUUUUGGAACGGAGGGAGUAUCUCGUAUUUAGAGCCUAUGCAUCUCGAAUUGUUAUGUGCCCGGUCAUAGAUCAUACCCAACACAAUAAAAAAAUGCAUUUCUCUGAAAAUGCCUUAGUAACGGAAGGAUACAGUUCAUCGUCGUCAUCGAAGUGCUUCCGGGCAGACCUGAGGACCGAGCUUGACCCUCCCAAGAGCCCAUUCCCGGGGACAUCAAGGUCCCCCAAGUCUCCACCUUCCUCCUCCUCUUCCACCUCGUCCUCCACUUCUGCACCAACAAGAGAACCCCAUGACCCUCAACAAAACAAGACGAACACUGCAGGGCAGAGCUUCAAAGUGGCGUCACCAGUGGGUUCCCGCCUGAAUGCCUGAAGUGGGUGGGUACACGCGGGAUGGGACUCACCGGGGGCGACGUAGCCGAAGGAGACGAGGCGGGACUCGACGGCGUCGGCGUGGCGGGAGACGAUGUUGAGCGUCUCGCGGAAGUGGCCGAGGAGCUCCUCGACGGAGACGGUGCCGAAGGCCAUGGACUCGAGGCGCGCCAGGUCGGCGCCCGCGGCCUCCACCCGCCGGUCCAGCCCCUGCAGGAACGCGUUCGUCGCCGACUCUGCGAGGGAACACGCGCACACGUCCUCCGUUAGCAGGCAGGAAGGAAAAGCGCUGGGUGGCGAAACCCUAGCGGGGGGAGGGCGGCGAGGUCAGAUGCGGUACCGAGGGGGAUGGCGCGGCGGGAGAGGGCGUCGGAGAGCGCGCGGGAGGAGUCGUCGGCGUGGGUGAGCACGUCGGAGAGGGAGCCGCACAGCGCCGAGAUCGACGCGUCCAUGCCGCGCUGCAUCGCGGCGGCGGGUCGCCGGAGUUGGGGGGGCGGGAGGAGGGGGGAAUUGGGGAUGGUUCCUCUCUUUCUUUCUUUCUGUCUCUGGCGAGUUCGAAUUUCAGUGCGGACGGCGGGGAAAUGAAUUUCAGCCAAACGCAGCCCAAGGAUGUACUCAGAGAUAUCAAUGCAUCACCACUGCCCAAUGGGUGCCCGAGAUAUCCCUCAUAUGGGCCUGUUUUGUUAAGCUGCAUCCAGCCCAACUAGGGUCCGGCGUAAAUUUGUCAUGUUUGGUUGUCUGGACUGCAUUUGAUUUCUGGACCGUACGAACCUCAAAGCAUUGUUGGGUCUAGUUUACUCUAUCAGCUCCUAAGAGAUACAUGGGUCCAUAGAAGUUAAUGCCUUCACCCCAUGAGAAGGAAGAUUUUAAUAACUAAAGUUUAACAAGAUGGCCAUAUAAGAUCGCAUUUGAUCGGCAAUCAUGGUAUGCUUGACAUAGUAAAGAAGGUACAACGCAGUCCACAUUAUUUCUCACCAAGGUAGAUAGUUAUAUUAUCCACAUAUUUAAUUGUUUUUGUUUAGGCCUCCAGUGCAGUGGAUAACACCAUCAAAAAGCCUGAAGACAUUUUUGAAUGAGGGAGUGGGUUCGGUUGACCAUUUUUUAGAGAGAUCAAUUGUGUGCUCCGGAUGUUGUGGAUAUAUUUCAAGUCUUCUUGACAAGAUGUUAGAAAUUUAGAAUCCUAGGUUAGUUUGGUGACAUCUUUUUCAUUUAUCUUAGGUUUUCAUCACGUGUUAAUCUAGGCCGUGAAUGCUGGUUUGUAGCAGUCUCUGCACAAAAUCUCAAAUUGGAAUUAUGAUGAGCAUAUUUUUUUAGGCACAAGUUGUGAUGGACAUGAUAACGUGGAGCUAUGCCACGUCAACAUCCAUUGAUGCAUGUGAAAGGGGCCACAUCAACAUGCUACCAUACACAGAAAAAGGCACACCGCAACAUGCAACCAUGGAUGUGAAAGCUAUUACACUUAUAUUUCAUAAAUAUUUUUGAAUUUAUAUAACUAUAUAACAAUCAAAUAUUUAUGUUUGAACUUCAUCAAAAAUAUGUAGGAAACAAUUCUGCAACACGUGUGGAUAUUAUCUAGUUCUUACAAACAUCAGGGACCUCACCUGGCCCCCAAUUUAAGACAAGAUAAUUUGUAAGCAAAUGAGUGUUUACCUGUUUACCAAAUAAUUUUUUUACACAAUCAUAUUAAUCUAGACAGGUAAAUCAUGAACUAAACUACUAUAAUAUUUAUGUGUCUGCUCCAACAUACAUGCAACUUUCUAGUUCAAGACAAAAGAUACAACUCAAAAAAGUGCUUGAUUUUUUCACAAAAAGACCCUAAAUUGAACAAGAAACCAUUCUGGGUCGUCAAGUACCGCCUCACCAUUGGAUGUCCAAGCCACCACCCCCCGCCACUGAACCAGGCACCAAAGACAAAGAUUACCCUCUUUUCGCAAAAUGGAAAAGUGGUCCUAUAACCAUCAUGUGGAUUAGCCUCCAAAAAUCAUUCGCCACUAUAAUAUGGAUCACAAGGAUGACGAAAAUAUGGCAAUAUCACUGGCCACAUGUCAUUCGAUAAUUUUAGUUUCCCCACCAUUCAAAUUUACACACAACACCGUAAUUAUAGUUGCAUUAGUUAGGCAACACUUUUUUUCGAAACCUUGAUAACUGAAAACCUCAGUAUUCCAAUGGGUGGGCAAUGAAGACUUAUUUGACCACAGGAGAUGGAGGAUUUUAAUCACUGAACUGAAGUUCAACAAGAUGGCCAUAUAAGAUCGCAUUUGAUCGGUAAUCGUGGUAUGCUUGACAUAGUAAAGAAGGUACAACAUUGUCCACAUUAUUUUCCACCACGGUAGAUAGUUAUAUUGUUCACAUGCUUAAUUGUUUUUCUUUAGGCCUCUAGUGCAGUGGAUAACACCAUCAAAAAGUCUGAAGACAUUGUUUAAUGAGGGUGUGGGUUUGGUUGACCAUUAGUUGUUUUGAGAGAUCAAUCAUGUCUGCUAAUGCUCCUGAUGUUGUGGAUAUAUUUCAAGUCUUCUUGAUGAGAUGUUAGAAAUUUAGAAUCCUAGGUUAGUUUGGUGGCAUCUUUUUCAUUUAUUAUAGGUUUUCAUCAUGUGUUAAUCUAGGUCGUGAAUGUUGGUUUGUAGCAGUCUCUGCAUAAAAUCUCAAAUUGGAAUUAUUAUGAGCAUAUUUUUUUAGGCACAAGAGGUGAUGGACAUGAUAACAUGCAGCUAUGCCAUGUCAAUAUACAUUCAUUUCAUGCAUGUAAAAGGGGACACAUCAGCAUGCUACCAUUCAUGGAAAACGGUACACCACAACAUUGCAACCAUGGAUGUGAAAACUAUUACAUUGCUUAUAUUUCAUAAAUAUUUUGCAUUUAUACAACUAUACGACAAUCAAAUAUUUAUGUUUCAACUUCAUCGAAAUAUGCAUGAAUCAAUUCGCAACAACGUGCGGGUUAUUAUUUAGUUCUUACAAACAACAGGGACNNNNNNNNNNNNNNNNNNNNNNNNNNNNNNNNNNNNNNNNNNNNNNNNNNNNNNNNNNNNNNNNNNNNNNNNNNNNNNNNNNNNNNNNNNNNNNNNNNNNNNNNNNNNNNNNNNNNNNNNNNNNNNNNNNNNNNNNNNNNNNNNNNNNNNNNNNNNNNNNNNNNNNNNNNNNNNNNNNNNNNNNNNNNNNNNNNNNNNNNNNNNNNNNNNNNNNNNNNNNNNNNNNNNNNNNNNNNNNNNNNNNNNNNNNNNNNNNNNNNNNNNNNNNNNNNNNNNNNNNNNNNNNNNNNNNNNNNNNNNNNNNAGACAAGAUAAUUGGUUAGCAAAUGAGUGUUUACAUGUUUACCAAACUAGAUGAUUCCCCGCGCGUUGCUACGGAAAAUAUUGCAUAAAAUUGGUGUUUUAUUCGUCGUAUUGGCUCUUAAAAGGAUCAAGAGAACAAUGAUUAUGAUUUGACAAAAAUAUUUUAAGAAUGAUACAUGACUAUAAUGGUAUAAUGAAUAUGUGCACACGCAUAAAUUCCAUUGGACUCGGAUCAGCUAAAUUCAGUAUUCUCCAGAGGCCAACAGUUAAACCUGGACUUGAUGGCGGUUGUGGCAGCUAUACUGUGCAUGUCAGUCAUACUUGUGGCAGCUCGAGCCCAAAGGCAGCCAAGAAGAAACCAUCCAUGUAUGGAACGAACGUCUGCAAACAAAAAUGAAGCGGCUUAAUUCAUUCAUCGUCAAUGUUACAUCUGGAUAAUGGAAGAUUGGCACUCAUACAUCCAUGUGACAAAUAAACAUGAUGUUAGCUCAGCUGGUUAAAAAUUUAAAGAAUGAGAGGCAUGGCAAAAAGUUCAACUCAGCUGGUGACCCAAAGGGAUAGAUCUAAAAGACAAUGCAAUUUGUAUCUACUAUAUCAUCGAAGUUGGGUUUCAACAGAAGAUGAAGUCCUUUGUUACCUGGCUCUAAAGUCUAGCUAUGAAAACUGGACCAAUGUAACCAACGGCAAUAUGGCUGAAAUAUAUAAUGUGUAACAUCAUAGAAGUAGGGGAUGAUAAUCCACACCAAACGAAGGAGACGUGAGAGAUGUAUAAAAAGUGCUAGUUGUAAAGAAAACCACAAUUAGUUCCUGAUAAGAAAGCUACAGUAAAGUACGAACUUUGAAAAAAU